rnacentral:tRNA from 1 species
GCCUAGUAACCUAGUGGGCAUGGCAUCUACCCAGUAAGCGGAACACUGUGGGUUCGAUUCCCAUCCCUGGACA